rnacentral:pre_miRNA from 1 species
AAAGUACUCCCUCCGUCCCAAAAUUCUUGUUUAGAUUUGUCUAGAUACGGAUGUAUCAAGUCACAUUUUAGUAUUAGAUACAUCCGUAUCUAGACAAAUCUAAGACAAGAAAUUUGGGACAGAGGGAGUAGUUG